rnacentral:rRNA from 1 species
AUUGAACGCUGGCGGCAUGCCUUACACAUGCAAGUCGAACGGCAGCAUGGAGAGCUUGCUCUCUGAUGGCGAGUGGCGAACGGGUGAGUAAUGCAUCGGAACGUACCGUGUAAUGGGGGAUAACGUAGCGAAAGUUACGCUAAUACCGCAUACGACCUGAGGGUGAAAGCAGGGGAUCGCAAGACCUUGCGUUAUACGAGCGGCCGAUGUCAGAUUAGCUAGUUGGUGAGGUAAAGGCUCACCAAGGCGACGAUCUGUAGCGGGUCUGAGAGGAUGAGCCGCCACACUGGGACUGAGACACGGCCCAGACUCCUACGGGAGGCAGCAGUGGGGAAUUUUGGACAGUGGGGGCAACCCUGAUCCAGCCAUGCCGCGUGAUUGAAGAAGGCCUUCGGGUUGUAAAGCUCUUUCGGCCGGGAAGAAAUCGCACAGGCUAAUACUCUGUGUGGAUGACGGUACCGGCAUAAGAAGCACCGGCUAACUACGUGCCAGCCGCCGCGGUAA